rnacentral:rRNA from 1 species
UACGUAGGGUGCAAGCGUUGUCCGGAAUUAUUGGGCGUAAAGGGCGCGUAGGCGGCCAUGCGGGUCUUCCGUGAAAUCCCUCGGCUUAACUGAGGACGUGCGGAAGAAACUGCAAGGCUCGAGUCCGGGAGAGGGGGGUGGAAUUCCCAGUGUAGCGGUGAAAUGCGUAGAUAUUGGGAGGAACACCGGUGGCGAAGGCGGCCCCCUGGACCGGUACUGACGCUGAGGCGCGAAAGCGUGGGUAGCAAACGGG